rnacentral:rRNA from 1 species
GAUGAACGCUGGCGGCGUGCCUAAUACAUGCAAGUCGAGCGAACAGAUCAGGAGCUUGCUCCUUUGACGUUAGCGGCGGACGGGUGAGUAACACGUGGGUAACCUACCUAUAAGACUGGGAUAACUUCGGGAAACCGGAGCUAAUACCGGAUAACAUUUGGAACCGCAUGGUUCUAAAGUGAAAGAUGGUUUUGCUAUCACUUAUAGAUGGACCCGCGCCGUAUUAGCUAGUUGGUAAGGUAACGGCUUACCAAGGCAACGAUACGUAGCCGACCUGAGAGGGUGAUCGGCCACACUGGAACUGAGACACGGUCCAGACUCCUACGGGAGGCAGCAGUAGGGAAUCUUACGCAAUGGGCGAAAGCAUGACGGAGCAACGCCGAGUGAGUGAUGAAGGGGUUCGGCUCGUAAAAAUCGGUUAUUAGGGAAGAACAAACGUGUAAGUAACUGUGCACGGAUUGACGGUACCGAAUCAGAAAGCCACGGCUAACUACGUG